AAUCAACGCUGGCGGCAGGCCUAACACAUGUAAGUCGAACGAGGCAGCAAUGCCUAGCGGCGGACGGGUGAGUAACGCGUGGGAACGUGCCCCUUGGUACGGAAUAGCCCUGGGAAACUGGGAGUAAUACCGUAUGUGGUCGAGAGACGAAAGAUUUAUCGCCAAGGGAUCGGCCCGCGUUGGAUUAGGUAGUUGGUGGGGUAAUGGCCUACCAAGCCGACGAUCCAUAGCUGGUUUGAGAGGAUGAUCAGCCACACUGGGACUGAGACACGGCCCAGACUCCUACGGGAGGCAGCAGUGGGGAAUCUUAGACAAUGGGGGAAACCCUGAUCUAGCCAUGCCGCGUGAUCGAUGAAGGCCUUAGGGUUGUAAAGAUCUUUCAGUGGGGAAGAUAAUGACGGUACCCACAGAAGAAGCCCCGGCUAACUCCGUGCCAGCCGCCGCGGUAA
rnacentral:rRNA from 1 species